UUCUUUUUUUUUCUUUUUUUUCUUUUUUUUUUUUUUUUCCUCUUGCCAGCUGGCUCCCGCAGCCGAAUUCACUCCCGGCCCGCUUGUUUAUCGUGGAAACGCUGUGACAGCACCUGCAGCCGCGCCGCGCCCAGGACAGCGCGGGGACUCGGGAGCUGGGGGAAUGGAACAAGGCUCACACAUACCCACCAGAAGUCUUACAGCAUGAAGAAAAGAAUGAAGCAAGGAACGAAGCAAAAAUCUCUGAGAGUUACUGUGGUCCAGGAUGCUUCAAUCAUCUCCCCACCAGCCUGAAGGGAUUCAUUCUCUAAGGAGUUCCAAGGAGGUUGGACAAUAUUCUGAAGCAAUAAAAUCCUUUGCACAGCAGGAGAUUUUGAUGUC
rnacentral:lncRNA from 1 species